rnacentral:rRNA from 1 species
AUUGAACGCUGGCGGCCGGCCUAACACAUGCAAGUCGAGCGAGCGGCGGACGGGUGAGUAAUGUCUGGGAAACUGCCUGAUGGAGGGGGAUAACUACUGGAAACGGUAGCUAUUACCGCAUACCAUCAGAUGUGCCCAGAUGGGAUUAGCUAGUAGGUGGGGUAACGGCUCACCUAGGCGACGAUCCCUAGCUGUUCUGAGAGGAUGACCAGCCACACUGGAACGGGGACACGGUCCAGACUCCUACGGGAGGCAGAAGUGGGGAAUAUUGCACAAUGGGCGCAAGCAUGAUGCAGCCAUGCAGCGUGUAUGAAGAAGGCCUUCGGGUUGUAAAGUACUUUCAGCGGGGAGGCGUUACCCGAAGAAGAAGCACCGGCUAACUCCGUGCCAGCAGCCGCGGUAAUUC